rnacentral:misc_RNA from 1 species
AGAGGAAGGUCCUUAGCCAAACGCAAAUACAUUAGAAAGAAACUCUUUUUGGCCCUUAUUAUGUGGUGACAAAAUUCCUUUGGAAGUAGCUAUAGAAAGAGGAAAAUGAAAAUUUCUAAAGGAUAAAGAACUUGUAUUAUAGAUUUGGACACCUCUCUUUUUGGGCUAUUAUAUUAUAUAUAAUUUAUAUAUAUGUACCCUACCAAAUAAAAGGACUUGAUUGAUG